CCACAUUUGCUUGGUUUUGCAGCUAAUGCUCUUAUCUUUUCUGUGAUAUCCGGUCCAUCAUCUAGUAUAACAUGUAUGUAAGAGUGGUUACAUGGAGUUCAUAUGGAACUACAGUGAAGGAACAUGCAAAAGGUGAAUUAUACCUUUUGUUCCAACCAAUUAGCAAAGUGUCUACUAAUCAAAUCCUCAUCGUCAUCAUCCGUCAAAUUUAAGUUACCCGGUUUCCUCUUCUCUUGAUCCACAAAUUCUCUGUAAUAAUAAGACAAAUAACAUCAUGAUUUUUUCCAACUUGUGAAAAACAAAAGAAAUAGAAGACAGCACUGAAGCACACCUACGGAGAUCAUCAAGCUCAUCCGUGUGUCGCAAGACAUAUCGAUGUGCUUGAACUAGAAGUUGAUCGUCCAACUGGCCUAUAGUGACAGCCUUUCCAAUUGUCUCACCAACACUAUCAAACAUGUACAUGCCCUUUGUAUUAGCUGAAGGAUCAGUGUUCCUAGAUGUUCUUGUGAAACAUGUGUGGUUCCUUCUAGAAAUCUUGAACAAAAGGUCAACCAUUCUUCAACAAUAUAUCCUUCAGCAAUAGAACCUUCAGGAUAAGCAGAAGGCUAGUUGGUAUAACCAGUCACUAAAAAUCUAAGUAAUAUCCAGUGGUCUCUCUUGCUAAAACAAGAAAAGUACUCUUGUGUGGCAUGACAUAUGCAGCCCCCCCUAACCAGAUCAACUUCAAAAAUAUCAUGUCAUCAACAAUUGCCAUCCAAUCAACAGUCCCCACUGUUUUUAACAACAAUUCUUAUCCAAUCACCAAAAAGGAUUCACAGAUUUUUAUCAACAAUUGUCUAAUUUCAACAAUACAAUGCAUCAUUGCAAAGACAGAAAGGAAAAACAGAGGUGACAUCGCAAUUUGAGCUAUAUUUCACAUGAUAUGGAGAUAGAAAAAUGAGAAGAACAACCUGCGGACAAGCUCCUAGCAGCAGAGGUGUGUCGGCGAGGUCGUUGCCAUGGUCGGCAGCAAAGCGAGAGAGGAGUCG
rnacentral:lncRNA from 1 species